rnacentral:rRNA from 1 species
AUUGAACGCUGGCGGCAGGCCUAACACAUGCAAGUCGAACGAGUGGCGGACGGGUGAGUAAUGUCUGGGAAACUGCCUGAUGGAGGGGGAUAACUACUGGAAACGGUAGCUAAUACCGCAUACCAUCGGAUGUGCCCAGAUGGGAUUAGCUAGUAGGUGGGGUAAAGGCUCACCAAGGCGACGAUCCCUAGCUGGUCUGAGAGGGUGACCAGACGCACUGGAACUGGGACACGGUCCAGACUCCUGCGGGAGACAGCAGUGGGAAAUAAUGGACAAUGGGCGCAAGCCUGAUGCAGCCAUGCCGCGUGUAUGAAGAAGGCCUUCGGGUUGUAAAGUACUUUCGGCGGGGAGGCGUUACCCGCAGAAGAAGCACCGGCUAACUCCGUGCCAGCAGCCGCGGUAAUAC